rnacentral:rRNA from 1 species
UACGUAGGGCGCAAGCGUUGUCCGGAAUUAUUGGGCGUAAAGAGCUCGUAGGCGGCUUGUCACGUCGGGUGUGAAAGCUCGGGGCUUAACCCCGGGUCUGCAUUCGAUACGGGCUGGCUGGAGUGUGGUAGGGGAGAUCGGAAUUCCUGGUGUAGCGGUGAAAUGCGCAGAUAUCAGGAGGAACACCGGUGGCGAAGGCGGAUCUCUGGGCCAUUACUGACGCUGAGGAGCGAAAGCCAGGGGAGCAAACGGG